GCAAUACAGAAUAAUUUACUCCACUAAUGCCAAAUUAAAAUUCAUAACACAAUUCUUUAAUUACCAUCUGAAUCCAAUUCUCAAAGAAGUUUGCCCUAAUUGCAUUGUUGAUAUGCAUGGAUGCAAAUAAGAUGUUGACUGUUUCCCUUGUAGCAAAUGACUCUGUUUCUAAUAUGCACACAUCUAACAACAUGGGGCCAAAUUCAUCCCUGGUAAAAACCCAUUAGAGCCAGCAAAGUUAUAUUGGGAACAAAUCUGAACCACCCUUCUCUGGAAAACUGAUCUAGUUAUCAGCCACUAAAAAUUGCCCCUCCAGUGCCUACAGACAAACGCACUGUCCCUGAGCAAGCCGGUGAAAAUCUCCCAGAAAACCCCCAGCAGGCUAGAAAGACAAAAGUGUGAAAUGGGCACGUGUGGAACAACAUUUGCCAGAAGGUAGCAGGGAUGUAGAAGCCCAGAUGUUCUACUUUGUUUUGUGACAGCACUGAAUAGGGAUCCUAUUCUUAGCCCACAGCACAGGUGUUUCAAAGGAAGAGAGUGAGAACAUCAGGCUGGAGAUUAAAUAAUAUUCACCAAAGAAGGCAGAGAGAGCAUGGGCAUCAUUUGGGCAUUUCUGUCAUCACUGCAUGUUUCUCUCAGGUAAUGUAGGCGUGGAAUCUGGAACCAACAGUGAGGGAAACCAGCGCCAUGAGGGGAUACAAGCUCCACAAACUCCAACUCCACCAGUUAUGAGCAAACUGAACUACUGUGUUAAAAACAAUGAACAAAAACAUUUCUCAGUUACUUGGAGGCCAGAACAGUAGGAAUUCAGCCUUUGAGAGAUCUAUUUUUUCUAUUGAGAAUAAGAGUGAAAUGUUACAUGAGUGCUGGAGAUGCACCUUCAAGCCAAGAAAAUAUUGGGUGCUAAUGGACUCUUCAAGAAGCAAUCUGGGAUCUGAGAACUGAAAGAAGAAAAAAAGUAACGUAAAA